rnacentral:rRNA from 1 species
UACGUAGGGUGCGAGCGUUGUCCGGAAUUACUGGGCGUAAAGAGCUCGUAGGCGGUUUGUCGCGUCGUCCGUGAAAACUUGGGGCUCAACCCCAAGCUUGCGGGCGAUACGGGCAGACUUGAGUACUGCAGGGGAGACUGGAAUUCCUGGUGUAGCGGUGAAAUGCGCAGAUAUCAGGAGGAACACCGGUGGCGGAGGCGGGUCUCUGGGCAGUAACUGACGCUGAGGAGCGAAAGCGUGGGUAGCAAACAGG